UUUCACCAAAGUAUUUAAUCAAGAAUCAAUUAAUUGUGACAUUGAGGUGUUAAAUUGAAUAAACUUGUUUGUAAGAACACAAAUCCUGCGAACGCAUAUUGCUGGCAAUUACUGUACUGCUGUUGCAUACAUUAUUUCAUUCAAAUCAAAAGCUCCCGUACGUAGACGUGUAAUCAUAUCCAAUGCAUUGCAUUGGAAACGCGCCCAUUACCGUGCGCCUAUCUGCUCGUCCGCGGUUUGGACGACUAAUUGCCGACGCAUCAAAAUGUACUCAGUCCGUUCGCGGGUCGUUCGUUCAGUUCGUUCGCGGGUCGUUCGUUCAGUUCGUUCGCGGGUCGUAUUGAAAACAGUGCCGAGAGAGUUACCGAAAAAAAGUGUGUCAUCCAGUGUCCAGUGUAGAACAUCGUCGUGGAAGUUUUCACCGGAAAAUCCAUCAAGACGUCUUCGAGUUAUGCGAAAACGAACAGAGACCGUUUAAUCGUGGACAAAUUCUAGUGCUUUACCGCAGUGUUUCCUGUUGUGCGGUAACCAAGUAUCCGUGAUAGUCCUGGACUUAAUACCAACUUUCAAUCGGAUACUCUGGGCUUGGCAUCUAUUGAGUGUGAGUAUUUAGUAGUAAAUAAUGUGUUGAGGAUACUUGUAUUAUGGUAUUUAUAAAUAAAAAUGUUUUAUUUAUUAUUACAUGUAAAUGCUUCGAAA